UGACAUCAACUGUCUGGGCUGCACCUUUCAUGCACGUCACGAGGGGGUGUGGUCAAGGCGCGAUGAUUGAAUGAUUGAAUGAAUGGACAUAUAGUCACCUGGGUGCUGCGGCGGCUGCAUGGAGAGGGGGUGAGUAGGGAGAGCGUAUUUUUUGUUGACCGCUUGAUUUAAACGUCAAACUAAGCCCAUAGAUCAUCUUGCCUUGCCUUGCCCUGUCUGUCUGUUUGUGCGGCGUUGGAAAUAAAUGUGAACUCAAUCGGAAAACACGGAAAUGGCUUGUGGUUUGUGUAGCGAGUCACCAAUGCGGAAGCUCCCUCACUUAGCCUCUCAGUGACUUUGUUUUCGUUCCUAGUCACUAUAUUUUGUCAACAAAAAAGGAGUACCAACACCCGAACGGCAUAUACGGACGCGAUCACGCCACACGGUGUCUAACUGCAACGCCAGACUGAUCGCAACGUGGACUUCAGACCGGUAGGACUGUAUCACUCGCAUCCAUUCAUUCUGUGUAUGUUGGACGGAACGCAGUUUGAUUACAGCGCAUACAGCGCAUCCAUUGGGGAGCGCUGUGCGUGUGUGAAAGUCCGCUGAGACAGCCUGUCCUGCUCGUUGAGAGUAAAUACCUGUGGUGUUUUCCGAUGUUAAUUGAUGUGAAACAAUCUGUGGAAAAAUAAAACUAUGCUGGGUGUAUUGUGGAUUCACUGCGCGAACCACUGAACUGCCGAAUCUCAAAAGGACAAUAUGAGUGAAGCCAUGGAACAAGUGGAAAACAAUGAAACUGUGGUUGCUAAAAGGAAUGUGAAACUUACUGCAAAAGCAUUGGCAUAUAAAGUGGUAAAUCUACAAAAUGAACGUAAAACACAUGUGAAUAAAAUAAAAGGCUUAAUACCUGCAAUGAAAGAGCUGAUGAAACGAAAGGAAAAUGUACAGGAAGUGAAAUCUCAGUUGCAAACUAUUACUCAGCUCCUUGAUACUGCUAUCAACCUGCAUCAAACAAUAAUUCCACUGUUACCUGAGGAUGAAAAACUUAAACAGAAUGAUUGGUUCUCCAGUAUUGAACGUUACAGCAGUACAUUCAAGGAUGAUGUGAUUCAGUGGUUGGAUGAGAAUGAACAUGUUCUAAAUAUCGUGGAUAAUGAUGAGGCCGCAGCAACAAAGCAUGUGUGUGACCCUCAAAUAUAUGAUGCUUUACAGGCAGCAGCACAGGACACAGGCCCCAUCACACCUUAUGAAGGUCUACAGGAUGACGUGAACCCAAGUGAUAGCAUAUCAAAUGUGCAAAGCAAACGAUCUGCAAAAAGUGCUGUGAGUGGAAAAGGCUCUGGGAGUGGUAAAAGGUCCAACGUAUCAGGAACUUCUUCUGCUCGCAUCAAGGCAGAAGCUGAUUUAGCUGCACUGAUGGCACGGCAAAAACUUUUACAGGACAGACAUGCACUGGAAGAGGAGGAGCAGCAAAUACGGAAACGCAAGGAAAAGCUCAAGUUGGAUGAAGAGAUUGCUGCACACUUGGCUAAAGUGAGCGUUCUAAGGGCUGCAAGCAUAUCUGGUUCGAAGAGUAUUACAACAGACAGGUCCAAUGCAAUGAGUUCCUACGUUAAAAAUGAACAAGAAACAACAAAGUUCAAUGUCAAUGCCACUCCUUUCAUUCCUCUGAGGCUGGAAACAUCUAAACAGCAAUCGAAAAUCAUGGACAGUGACCCUGUGACAAGGCCUAAAUCAGAUGGAUCGACCCAUGCUGUUCACUUUCAGCCUCCCACUUUGAAGAGCCACUUACCUGAUUUUAAUCCUCUGCUCAAUGCUCAUAAUGAUCACUUACAUCAUGGAAUCAGUCUUAAUGUUGGGGAUUCAGCAAGUCAUGGGGAGCAAAACAAUGUUCUUGACAUCAUGAAAAGACAGAAUGAAAUUACAACACUACUGAUACAACAGCAGCAACAUGCGCUCUUGCCUAAAAGAGACAUCCAGGUGUUUGAUGGUGACCCACUGCAGUUCCAUACGUUCCUGAGAGCCUUUGAAAACUGUAUUGAAAGCAAGUCCAACAGUCAUAGUGAUUGCCUGUACUUCCUCGAGCAAUACACUAGAGGUCGUCCAAGAGAUCUUGUGAGAAGCUGCCAGCAUAUGGACCCAAACAGGGGCUAUGCUCAAGCUAAAAUCCUAUUACAAGAACAUUUUGGGGAUGAACAAAGGGUUGCUGCUGCUUAUAUGGACAAGGCGUUGUCAUGGGCUCCAAUAAAAUCAGAGGACGUUAAAGCUCUCCAAGAUUAUAGCCUAUUUCUCAGAGGCUGCGCAAAUGCGAUGAACGAAGUGCAGUAUAUGUUCGAAAUGGAUAUGCCUGCUAACAUGCUGACAAUAAUAAAAAAACUGCCUUACAAGCUGAGGGAUCGAUGGAGGACAACUGCUUGUGAAAUACAAGAAAGACGUAACCAAAGGGCUACAUUCAAUGAUAUUGUCCAUUUCAUUGAAAGGCAAGCAAGGAUUCUAACAGACCCAGUAUUUGGAGACAUUCAAGACUCAUCACCAGCAGUAAACAGAGGCAUGAAUCGAACCAGCUUAAAACCUAGAUCUCGGCCAAAGGGAAGUAGUUUCGCCACAACAGUGACUACUGUACAGCACAAUUACACAGCAACAAAAGGAAGGAGGCCAGACACAACCUCAUCAGCCAAGAAAGUCUGUCUGUUUUGUGAGGGUGGGCACACAUUGGAGUAUUGCUCUCGAAUGGAGAAGAGGACUCACACUGAAAAGAUCACCUUUUUAAGGGAAAAGGGAAUAUGCUUCGGCUGUUUGUGUAUAGGACACAUCAGCAAGGACUGUCGAAAGCGCCUGUCAUGCAAAGUGUGUAGUUUGAAACACCCCACAAUGCUUCACAUCCAUUCAAAGGAAAAGGACCCAGUGACAGAAGAAGAACCAGGCGCCGCAGUGGGCUGUGCUCUGGUAUCUAAUGGGUUGACUGGGGCUGGUGGCCAUGAGUGCAAGCUUCCUAUAGUUCCUGUAUUGGUUAAAUCCAAGAAAGGUAAUCAUGUAGUGGCUACUUAUGCCUUCUUGGAUCAAGGUAGCACGGCUGUUUUCUGCACAGUAAACCUCAUGAACAAGCUCAACCUCUCAGGAAAAAGGACAAGAAUCCUUUUGCGGACAAUGGGUCAGGAGAAGGUCGUUAACAGCUGUGUGGUCACGGGACUGGAGGUGGCCGGUUUGGACGGAGAGACAUACUGUGAUUUGCCCAACACCUAUACACAGGAGUGCAUGCCGGUGCAUAGAGGAAAUAUUCCAUGUCAAAAGGAUCUCGAGAGGUGGGCAUACUUGAGAGAUGUUCACUUACCUGAUAUCGACUCCGAAGUUGAGCUGUUGAUUGGAACAAACGUACCAAGGGCACUGGAACCAUUACAAGUCAUCCGUAGUGUGGACAAUGGACCGUAUGCCAUCAAGACUAUUUUGGGUUGGACUGUUAAUGGGCCACUGGGGGGAAACAGUGGUGAUGGAAUGGAUGUUGCGACCGUUAACAGAAUUUCAGUCCUGAACUUGGAGGAGCUCUGGCAGCAGCAGUUCAGAACAGAUUUCCCAGAAUGUGGCUACGAUGAGCAACCUGGCCAGUCAAGAGAGGACCAAAAGUUCAUGAAGUUGGUCCAGGAUUCAGCCAAGCUUGUAGAUGGUCAUUACCAGAUUGCAUUGCCCCUGCGAAGCUCCGUGACCAUGCCAAAUAACAAGAAGGUUGCCGAGCAGCGUGCUCUAAACCUGAAGAGGAGGUUCAAAAGGGACUCGUUAUUUCAUCAGCAGUACACUGAUUUCAUGAAUGAUAUGGUCACCAAGGGAUACGCAGAGCAAGUACCUUCAGAUGAGCUGGCACGUACUGAUGGAAGAUUGUGGUAUAUCCCACACCAUGGUGUGUAUCACCCACAAAAGGGAAAAAUCCGUGUGGUUUUUGACUGUGCUGCCACUUUCCAGUCGGCAUCUCUCAACGCUCAACUGCUGCAAGGGCCAGAUCUCACUAGCUCGCUGAUUGGCGUCCUGGCCAGAUUCCGGAAAGAACCGGUAGUGAUCAUGGCAGACAUAGAGUCCAUGUUUCACCAAGUAAAGGUGCCAAGGGAAGAUGCUGAUCUACUGAGGUUUCUCUGGUGGCCCAACGGUGACUGCACCCAAGACCUGGUAGACUUUAGAAUGAUGGUACAUCUUUUUGGUGCAACGUCCUCACCAAGUUGUGCUAACUUUGCAUUGAGGAAAUGUGCUAAGGACAAUGAAGAACAGUUCUGCCGAGAGACCAUUGAAAGGAUUCUGCACUGCUUUUAUGUGGACGAUUGUCUGGUGUCGACGGCCAGUGAGGAAGAAGCAGUGGCACUGUAUCAUGACCUGGUCUCUGUAUGUGCCAAAGGAGGUUUUAAGUUGACCAAAUGGAUGAGCAAUAGCCGUGCAGUGAUGGCAGCAAUUGCAGGGGACCAAAGAGCUAAGGGCAUGAAGGACUUGGAUUUGGACCAUGACCUGCUACCAGUGGAGAGGGUGCUCGGAGUGCAAUGGUGCAUCCAGUCUGAUGUCUUCAAGUUUAGAAUCCUGGUGCAGGACAGGCCCCUGACAAGGAGGGGGAUCCUCUCUGUCAUCAGUUCAGUAUACGAUCCUCUAGGAAUCCUGAGUCCCAUUGUUCUUUCUGCCAAGAUCAUCCUGCAGGAGCUGUGUAGGCAAAGACUCGGUUGGGAUGACCCUAUACCACCAUCAGCUGCACAGGAAUGGACGAGCUGGUUAAAGGAGCUCCAUCAGUUAGAGCACUUCCAGGUUUCGCGGUGCCUUAAACCCCCAGACUUUGGUGAGGUCACUGUGGCGCAACUGCACCAUUUUACAGACACAAGCAAUAAUGGUUAUGGUGUAGUGACCUACCUUCUCAUGCGGAAUGCAUGUUCCCAGAUGCACAGCAGCUUUGUCAUGGGAAAGUCCAGGGUGUCUCCUUUGAAGCCAGUCUCAAUACCCCGCAUGGAGCUCACAGCUGCUACAAUGGCAAGCCGUCUGGACACCUUUUGGAAAAAGGAGUUGCACAUGUCAUUAAUAGAGUCAACGUUUUGGACUGACAGCACCUCUGUGCUGAAGUACAUCAGGAAUGAGACUUCCAGGUUCCGUACCUUUGUCGCCAACAGGGUAGCAGAAAUACUCAAAGUGUCAGAUCCAUCGCAGUGGAAGUAUGUAAACACCCUAAGCAAUCCUGCAGAUGUGGCCUCCAGGGGACUGAGGGUUGACAUGUUCCUGAGGAACAAGGCGUGGUUGUCAGGACCUGCAUAUCUCCUGCAACCUGAACGAGACUGGCCUGUGAGUCCAGAUUGCUUGGGCGAACUCCUGCUGAACGAUCCAGAAGUCAAGGCCAGUGUGGCAGUGAAUGCAGUGCAGGCCUCAGAGGAUGUGGAUGCAACCACUCAACUAAUCCAUCAUUUUUCCUCUUGGACCCAUCUGAGAAGGGCUGUGGCUUGGUUUCUCAGGCUAAAAAACAUGCUGCGGGGUCUCAGCCAGAAGAGGACUGACUCUGCGUCCACUCAGUCGGAGUCAGGGAAACAACAAAGACCGUCCUCGGAGCUUGGAAAAGGAGGGUUCAAAGACCUGGCACCGAGAGGUUUCCUCACGGUAGACGAGUUGCAGGUAGCUGAAAAGGAAAUCAUCAGGUUUUGUCAGAGGAAGAGGUUUCCUGAUGAACUCUCUAGUUUGCAGAAGGGCGAAAGUGUGAAAAGGAGAAGUCACAUCUUCAAGCUCGCUCCUGUGUUGGAGGAUGGUAUCCUGAGGGUUGGUGGUCGGUUGAGCCGAGCAGCCUUACCUGAAGACGCAAAACACCCUGCCAUUCUGACCAAAGAGCUCCACAUUUCAGACGUUCUCCUGAGACACAUACAUCAACAAGUUGGUCAUGGAGGACGCAACUACAUGUUGUCCAAACUACGUGAAAGAUACUGGAUUCCUGGGGUCAGCACAGCCAUAAGGAGAAUUUUGUCAAAGUGUGUUGUCUGCCGCAGGUUGCAAGCUGCCCCAGGGUGUCAGCUGAUGGCUGAUCUUCCUGUUGACAGGGUCUGCCCAGACAAACCUCCAUUCACCAGAGUCGGUGUGGACUACUUUGGACCAUUCGAGGUUAAGAGCCGGAGGAGCAUUGUAAAGAGAUAUGGAGUCAUGUUCACCUGUUUGGCAAUACGGGCUGUUCAUAUCGAAGUGGCUCCUUCGCUGGAUACAGACGCCUUUAUUAAUGCACUACGACGAUUCAUGGCAAGACGUGGCCAAGUCCAAGAAAUUCGAUCAGACAAUGGAACGAACUUUAUUGGAGGGGAGCGUGAGCUGAGAGAGGCUAUCAGAGGUUGGAAUCAAGCUCAGAUAAAUGGUGUUCUUCUUCAGAAGGAGGUGAAAUGGAUUUUUAACCCCCCAGCUGGAUCGCACCAUGGUGGUGCCUGGGAAAGGUUGAUCAGAUCAGUGCGCAAGGUCUUGAACUCCAUCUUGAAAGUUCAAAAUCUGGAUGAGGAGGGAUUACACACUGUCCUCUGUGAGGUGGAAGCAGUCAUUAACGGCCGUCCAAUUACUAAGGCCUCACCCGACCCUAACGACCUCGAAGCUCUGACGCCUAACCAUCUCUUGCUGUUGAAAACCUCUCCUUCCCUGCCACCUGGGCAGUUUCAAAGAGACGACAUCUACGCUCAUCGACGCUGGAGGCAGGUCCAGUACAUGUCUGAUUUAUUUUGGAAGCGAUGGACUAAGGAGUAUUUGCCACAGUUGCAGGAACGUCAGAAGUGGACUGGUAUCAAGCGCAACUUUGUAGAAGGGGACGUUGUGCUUAUUGUGGAUGAAACAGCACCACGGAACUCGUGGGUCAUGGGAAGGGUUAUCCAAACCUUCCCAGACAGAAGAGGAUUUGUGCGACGGCUGCAGAUCAAGACCAAGACCAGCUCCUUGGAAAGGCCCAUAACCAAAGUCUGUCUUCUGCAGGAAUCGGAUGCCUGACUCUUCCGUUCUGGAAGGAUAGUUUGAUUGACUUUACUGACCGACAGCACGACAUGACUUUCCUCCGUGAAGCUGUGUGUCUGAACUUUUGAACUUUUGAACUUGGCUAGACUUGACUUGUGUUCCAGGAAGAAGAGCACAUUGAUGAACUGUAUUGAUGGACUAUUACAAGAACAUUGGUGGAUUUCGUGGUUCAUUUAUUUGUCAUAGUGUAAUUAUUAUAAUGGUAAUAAUUAGGGGCUGGGUUGUAGGUGCCAUAUGCAGAAGUGGUUAGGUUUGUGUGUGUUGACAUCAACUGUCUGGGCUGCACCUUUCAUGCACGUCACGAGGGGGUGUGGUCAAGGCGCGAUGAUUGAAUGAUUGAAUGAAUGGACAUAUAGUCACCUGGGUGCUGCGGCGGCUGCAUGGAGAGGGGGUGAGUAGGGAGAGCGUAUUUUUUGUUGACCGCUUGAUUUAAACGUCAAACUAAGCCCAUAGAUCAUCUUGCCUUGCCUUGCCCUGUCUGUCUGUUUGUGCGGCGUUGGAAAUAAAUGUGAACUCAAUCGGAAAACACGGAAAUGGCUUGUGGUUUGUGUAGCGAGUCACCAAUGCGGAAGCUCCCUCACUUAGCCUCUCAGUGACUUUGUUUUCGUUCCUAGUCACUAUACUAACCUCUUUUAUUUAUUUAUCUAUUUAUUUAGUUUUGUGUGUGUGAGGUUUUGAUUGCACGUAAGGGUGUGCUCCCUGACUCUAUUUAUUUCGUGUUAUUGCUUCCACCUGGAAUAGUUUGGGUCUGUUGGAGAAACUUCCAGAAGGGCAAUAUGGACAACAUUGCUGUGUCCUUGAUAAACUGAGUUAAUGCACAUGUGUAAUGGUAUAUGUGAUGGAGAUGUGCCUUUCUGAAUAAAAAGAGAAUCUCAGAAAAAAAAAAGAAGAAGCUGCCCAUUUUUACUUUGUUUUGUUAAGGUUGUAAAAAUAAUAACUUAAUUUGAAUAUUUAGGCAGAGAUCUGAACUAUGAGUCUGUUGUUUUAUUUUGAAAGGGUUUGUUCUCCCUUUUCUUUUUUCUUCAGUUGUACAGAGAACAAUCUGCUCCUCUAAAAGAGUGAAUAUGAAGUGUGUGGGUUGGGGUGGCUAACAGUAUAAAAAUAAGCUUCAGGCCUCUUUGUCAAUUAAACUCAGUUUGUUAGUUUCUUUGUCUCUCACAGAGUUGGCCAUCACCUGAUAAUGUGGAUGUUCCCAUCUCCCCUCCUUCUCAUCCUCCUCCUCUUUCACUGCUUGAUAUCUUCCUUUGUGUCUUAUUAGCCAUAAGAUGACAGGAGGGGUUUAAAAAUAGAGACGAUCCACCCAGAUUACAGCAUUUUAAUUACAGAGCGCUGGUGCGUUGGGGGUGUAGAGGCCCCUCCUCUGACAGGAGGAGAGCAGGGUUGAGGAGGAAGAGUUGGAAGGCAGCGUGGUUUGUACAAUGAAUGUAAACUGUGGGCUAAUUAGUAUCGUCUGCCACAGUGAUGCUCAAGCUGUAGCCAUCUAUUAUAUAUAAAUUGUGGGCUGCGUGGCACAUUGAACACUUCAUAAACGCACACCUGUGGCCACAUCACACUGAUUUGAAAUAUUAAAACCUGACAGUCACCUGGAGGGGGGACUGGGGGCUUGCUUUAGGUAAAAACAUAGAGGCAACUUCUAUCCAAAUAAUGACUUUGUUAACUUAAUACAUAAAGUACUCGUGUCAUUUUAAGACCCCACACUAUCACUGUGGUGUCACACUUAAACUCAAGACUACCUAGUCAUAAAUAGUCAUACACCAUUAUAAAAGAGGUUAUCAUCUAGAUUUUACUGCUCAUAAGGGAGUGAAAGUGAUACAUGGCUUAAGUUUUGUUCUCAUCUAUGCACAUUAUUUCUAGGCUGAUGAUAGGAAAUCAUGGUUACCACCUCACAUCAUUUUGUAGCCACCAGUAAACGUAUAAAUAUUCUAAUGAGUCAUUAAACCCCAUGUCAUAAUGUAAACUGAGACCAAAUACCCAGAUAAAGGUGAAAUAAAGGAGUGUAUGCAGGUAUUUCUAGAUUAUUUAAUUUCUGUGUUUCCAAAUUGGAGAGGAUACAUUUUUUUUUCUUUUUUUUUUUAAUUGUGCAAUACGGCAUUACAGUGACAAUGCAAGACAGACAACAAACAACAGCAUUUGUGGUUUUGUGUGUGUGUGUGUGUGUGUGUGUGUGUGUGUGUGUGUGUGUGUGUGUGUGUGUGUGUGUGUGUGUAUUAUAUAUAUGAAUAAUAAUGAUAAAAAAUAUUACAAUUGUCAGACAAGCAAAUGGAAAUUAUAAUAGAAUAAUAAUAAUAAUAAUAAUAAUAAUAAUAAUAAUAACAUUCAAUAUUAAUAAAGAUGUGACGACUAACAAUAAUAAUAAUAUGGGUGGAGGGGAGGUCUUUAAAUUUGUGGACUACCUCGGGUCCCUGCCCACUUGCACGAGACCAGCCUGCAUCCCCCCAGGCCCCGUACAGUCUAAAUUCAGAUUAUUUCAAUUGCUUGUAGGAAGAUUUUGGCUGAUUUGACAAGUAACAGACAACAAAAUGAUAUUUCACUUUCUCAUCAAUUUCUUGCUUAUUUAAAGAAAUUACAUCACAGUUUUGAACAAUUAAUGUUUGCUGUAGCAGUUUGUAACACAGACUUUGGACAGUUCUCUAUACAGACAUAGAGCUCCACCCAAUUAAUCUCAAUCCAAAAUGCACAAUAUUGACAAAACUGACCUCCCAGCAGUAUUCCCAUUUUUCUCAUGGCACAAUGGCCUAAAAUACGAAUUAAACUAUAGCUAAUUAUUUUUUAAAUAUAUGUGAAAAUGUAGCAAUAUGGGUUCUGGUUCAACCUUUUAGUCAGGCCAUAAGGCUCAUGUGGUUUAGUACUUAGGUAGAAGGCCUGGGUUUGAUACCAAUCUGCUGCCUCUUUUUCAUGUGUCUCUCUCCUGGUUUCCUGAUCCAUUUACUGUCCGGUCCUCUUUCAAGAAAGGCAUAAAGCCUUCCAGACUUCCCUCCUCCUCUAUAGACCUGCUAUAUGUGUUUGAGGGAUGAAGAAUUAAAAAAUGUGAUUCCGUCCCUGGUAAGAGCUUUAAACCCGUCUGUGAUAAUUACAAAACUCUCCAGAUUCUGCCUCUAUCACAAUCUUUCUUCACCUGUCACAAGGCAUUGUAAACAUGAGUAAACAGAUGAGAGUGAGAGCAAAGCUGAAAUGUCAAAGACAAAAGAGUGAUAAACAGUAUAGUUAUCCUCCUCUUCUGUUGUGUUGUGGAUUAAGAGUUUUGAAAAGGGAACUCAGACAUGAGAAAUAACCCUGUGUGGAAUAAAUCAUCAAUACCUUUAACACCUACCUAGGAUUUAAUCUAAAUGAAACUUUAAGUAUUUAUAACUUUGACAUUUAUAUUUCUUUUCUCAUUCAAUCAGUGUCAUAAAACAGAUUGCACUAUGAUUCAUGUUUGCAACAGUAAAGCUAUAAAAGCUCAGAGGAGGUGGAUACUUUUAUAGGCGGCGUAGUAUAGUUUCAGGUCUUUGAUUUAUCAUAUACUUUGCAAUUGGCAUCUAGGAAUGUGAGUUUUUUUUUUUUAUUUGUUGAGUGGGUGAGUGUCUGUGCAUAAGCAUAGGCAAACUGUUGCGAGUGUUUUAGCACCUUGGCAACCUGCACUGUGUGCCCCUGCAUCUGAGCAAAUACAUAUUGAGUAUCUUGUAAAUAAUAUCUCUUUGGCUCUUCCACGUGGCAUGGAUGGAAGAUAUUUAUCCACAAUGAGCUGUAUGAUCCACAAACUUCCCGGAUAUUUCCAUUCUUUGGUGAUUAGGUCAUAAGCUUAAGCUCUACAUCAUAGCAGCAACGAACCAGCUGUGCGGCUCAAAUAUACCGAUUCUGAGUUUAACAGCUUGAUUUGAUCAUUUCUGGCAUUAGAGUGAUUGAUGUUUGUAAUAUUACGUGCAUAUAGAAAGUGUUGAGCUUCACUGUCUGUGAAUGUACUGCAGUUUUUUCCAAACUGCUGCGCCCCCAGGCAGAGAGCCUCAUUACAGUCCCAUCUCUCCUCCCCAGGCUCCUCAGCAGCCCACCUCAAUGCCACAGCAGCUCUCAGUGACCGUGAUGUCUCCAAGCUCCGCUCCUGCCAUUAGGCCUGGUGGUCACGUCAAGAAAGAGAUGGCAGACUGUCACCACACAGACUAAAUCUCAGAAUCCUACACUCACAGCUCCUCUUGCCUGUCUGUCACAUUGCCACCCUUCUCACAGGCACUCAG
rnacentral:lncRNA from 1 species